rnacentral:rRNA from 1 species
AUGCAUCAAGCUGUUGAUCUAACCAGCCAUGACCAAGAAAAGACGUCACCGCAGACACAAUGUAAAUGCAACACAAAAACAACUCUCAGCAAACAAACUGCCGGCAGCGAAGGAGUCAGAGACAGGCUCAACAAGCUGCCUAAUGACCUUCUGCUCAACAUUCUGGAGAGGGUCGACACGCUUGAUGCAAUAAGGGCCUGCCUCCUCUCGAAACGAAUGAUGCACCUUUGUACCAAGCUCUCACGCUUCUUCCUAAGCUGUAGUUCCAUUCCAGGUCACCAUGUUAGAGCUCAUGUUUUCGACCCCAGUGAAUUUUUCAGAGCCAACAGUGCUGUAGCUCAUGUAACGGAUAACAUCUUGAGCACAAGGAGCCCGGAGAUCACCAUUAGCAAACUCAAAAUCAGAUUCAUCUUGACGCAACCUGAUUGUUACACAAUUGGCAAAUCCGGCGCCCGCGCCAUGACAACACACAAGGUUGGUGCAGCUGAGUUUGAGAUCAUAACAGAGAAAAUUCACAAGUGUUCUCCUGCCGAGCUCCUCGACCAUGCGAAGCAGUUCAAUGAUUUUUUUAGUGCUUGUCCGGAUGCAUUUGAUGGCCUCAAGCGCCUGUGGCUGUGCAAUAUGAGGUUUGGUGAGUCGGACAUACCCAACAUCCUCAGCACCUGCAAGCUCUUGGAGUCUUUGCAUUUAACCAAUUGCGACUCGGGGAUGAAUUCUGUGCUGCAACUAGAACAUGCUAAACUUACUGAGCUCGAGGUCGACUUUGGGAAAUUUGAGAUAGUUGAGCUGACAUGCCUACCAAAACUCCAACGGGUGAGCUAUAAGGGCUGGUUACUCUCAUAA